UUAUGACCUUCUUUCUUCAAUAAUUCGCUCUCCGAAUGCAAUCAAAGAGGGCCAAAACCUAAAUUGGGGUUCCAAUUUGGGUAAAUUGAUUGAAUUGGCCCUCCUUGUUUUCCCAGCUUUCGUGAACAGUCAAAUUGGGAGUUUCUCCAUGGCCAACAGCUCCCCUAGUAACGAAUUUCCCCAGGUGGCGCAAGCAGAAGAGAACAAUGCCCCUCGGAAACAAGUGAUCAUUUCACUCGAUGAGAUAGUUGUGAUGGAAUCUCCAAGGAGGGUUGACAUUCCCGACAACAUAGAGAAGAAAAAUUCGUCAGCAACAAGGAAGAGGAAAAGACAAGUGU